rnacentral:lncRNA from 1 species
AUGUUGACUUCCUCAAUUUUAUUUUUGUUUCUUUUCUCCAGCACCCUUCUAGGACACACCGGUAUUAGCAGAAACAAACGUGCGCCGAGUCUGUCAUGUUUCUCCAGCCUCGGUGGCAUGGUUUUCAUUGCUUCUCUACAGCGUGGCCCUCGCUGCUUUCAUGACUCAGGGUGUGCAGGUGCUCUGCAAACAGUUCAGAGCCAUGACCACUCGAAAGGAAUCUGGGAGGCCCAGUUAGCGGGGUUCCUUGUAACUCUGCCUUGUCGGUCCUGUCCUGCAGUGUGUUUCUGCAGCGCUCAGUCCCCGGUCUGCAGCUUCUUCCAGAGACAUUACCAGCUGUUCAGUUUCUCUUCUCCUCUUUCCAGCUCCAUGCAGGCUACCCGAUUUGAGUCAUUGCUCAAGCAAGGAGUGCUGUCAAGUGAAUUGUCUCUCUGCAGAUGACGAGAGCCUUUCUCAACGUUGCCUUGCAGAUGAAAUUGAUGUGUUUGGAGUUGCUGGCCUGUGAAUUCAAGUCGACCCCAUCCAGUGACUUAAAACACACAGCCUAGGUUGUAUGCCGACUACCUCUCCCAAAGAGCGCACAAGCACAGCGUCUUUUCUAACGUGUGGCUAGACAUCAAGUGGAACAUCUGUAGCAUAAAUUUGUAGCUUAGAAUACCUCUCUUUGUCCCAAGUUUGGAGUCCUUUCUAAUUUCAUUCUUAACAUGCAUCUGGAGAAUGGUAAUAGUAUCUUCCUGUCCUUGAUUGUAUAAUAAUUCCUACUUACCAAAUCCAGUUGACCAGAAAAAAAAAUCAUGCAGAAUAAGGAAUGCAAGUGGUCCCUUUGAUUCUCCCAUCAAACAGGGUGGUGAGGAAAUUAUUAGGUUUUAUAAGGGGGACAGGGAGGGGCAAUAAGAACCUUGAGGGGAAGGCAGGCUGUAAUAUCUCUCUUGUAAUUUUCAGUUAUAUGAAAACUGUGUGAGAAAUACAGGUCUAGGCUGUGUGAGAAAUACAGGUUUAGACCAUUCUCUAGGUUUAACCGCACCAAAAAAAAAAAAAAAAAAAAGU